CCUACGGGAGGCAGCAGUGAGGAAUAUUGGACAAUGGACGAGAGUCUGAACCAGCCAAGUAGCGUGAAGGAUGACUGCCCUAUGGGUUGUAAACUUCUUUUAUAUGGGAAUAAAAUGUUCCACGUGUGGGAUUUUGUAUGUACCAUAUGAAUAAAGAUCGGCUAACUCCGUGCCAGCAGCCGCGGUAAUACGGAGGAUCCGAGCGUUAUCCGGAUUUAUUGGGUUUAAAGGGAGCGUAGGUGGAUUGUUAAGUUAGUUGUGAAAGUUUGCGGCUCAACCGUAAAAUUGCAGUUGAAACUGGCAGUCUUGAGUACAGUAGAGGUGGGCGGAAUUCGUGGUGUAGCGGUGAAAUGCUUAGAUAUCACGAAGAACUCCGAUUGCGAAGGCAGUUCACUGGACUGCAACUGACACUGAGGCUCGAAAGUGUGGGUAUCAAACAGGAUUAGAUACCCUGGUAGUC
rnacentral:rRNA from 1 species